rnacentral:rRNA from 1 species
CAGCCGCCACGGUAAUACGAAGGGUGCAAGCGUUACUCGGAAUUACUGGGCGUAAAGCGUGCGUAGGUGGUGGUUUAAGUCCGUUGUGAAAGCCCUGGGCUCAACCUGGGAAUUGCAGUGGAUACUGGGUCACUAGAGUGUGGUAGAGGAUAGUGGAAUUUCCGGUGUAGCAGUGAAAUGCGUAGAUAUGCGGAGGAACACCGAUGGCGAAGGCAGCCCCCUGGGCCAAUACUGACGCUCAUGCACGAAAGCGUGGGGAGCAAACAGGAUUAGAUACCCCCGUAGUCCCUGUCUCUUAUAC